rnacentral:rRNA from 1 species
AGGUAGUCAAGAUGAGAAUUCUAAGGUGAGCGAGCGAACUCUCGUUAAGGAACUCGGCAAAAUGACCCCGUAACUUCGGGAGAAGGGGUGCUCUUUAGGGUUAACGCCCAGAAGAGCCGCAGUGAAUAGGCCCAAGCGACUGUUUAUCAAAAACACAGGUCUCUGCUAAACCGUAAGGUGAUGUAUAGGGGCUGACGCCUGCCCGGUGCUGGAAGGUUAAGAGGAGUGGUUAGCUUCUGCGAAGCUACGAAUCGAAGCCCCAGUAAACGGCGGCCGUAACUAUAACGGUCCUAAGGUAGCGAAAUUCCUUGUCGGGUAAGUUCCGACCCGCACGAAAGGCGUAACGAUUUGGGCACUGUCUCAACGAGAGACUCGGUGAAAUCAUAGUACCUGUGAAGAUGCAGGUUACCCGCGACAGGACGGAAAGACCCCGUGGAGCUUUACUGUAGCCUGAUAUUGAAAUUCGGCACAGCUUGUACAGGAUAGGUAGGAGCCUUUGAAACGUGAGCGCUAGCUUACGUGGAGGCGCUGGUGGGAUACUACCCUAGCUGUGUUGGCUUUCUAACCCGCACCACUUAUCGUGGUGGGAGACAGUGUCAGGCGG